AGUUAGUGGCGGACGGGUGAGUAACGCGUGGGCAACCUGCCCCGUGCCGGGGGAUACCGCCUGGAAACAGGCGCUAAUACCGCAUAAGCGCAUACAGCCGCAUGGCAGUAUGCGGAAAGCUCCGGCGGCACGGGAUGGGCCCGCGCCCGAUUAGCCAGUUGGCGGGGUAACGGCCCACCAAAGCGACGAUCGGUAGCCGGCCUGAGAGGGCGGACGGCCACAUUGGGACUGAGACACGGCCCAAACUCCUACGGAAGGCAGCAG
rnacentral:rRNA from 1 species